rnacentral:rRNA from 1 species
UACGUAGGGUGCGAGCGUUGUCCGGAAUUAUUGGGCGUAAAGAGCUCGUAGGCGGUCUGUCGCGUCUGCUGUGAAAUCCCGGGGCUCAACCCCGGGCUUGCAGUGGAUACGGGCAGACUAGAGUUCGGUAGGGGAGACUGGAAUUCCUGGUGUAGCGGUGAAAUGCGCAGAUAUCAGGAGGAACACCGGUGGCGAAGGCGGGUCUCUGGGCCGAUACUGACGCUGAGGAGCGAAAGCGUGGGGAGCGAACGGG